rnacentral:rRNA from 1 species
CCCUUAGAUGUUCUGGGCCGCACGCGUGCUACACUGAGUGGAUCAGCGGGUCAGGUUGCGCGAAAGCGUUUCCUAAUCUUUAAAUCCGCUCGUGAUGGGGAUUGACGGUUGCAAUUUUCUGUCAUGAACGAGGAAUACCUUGUAAGCGCGGGUCAUCAUCCCGCGCUGAAUACGUCCCUGCCCUUUGUACACACCGCCCGUCGCUCCUACCGAUUGAAACAUACGGUGAAAAUCUCGGAGAGGAAUGUUCUUAGUGCAAAGUUCGCUUUGUAUUUCCAUGCUUCAAAGUUAUUUAAAUCUCAUGUUUUAGAGGAAGGAGAAGUCGUAACA